UUUUUCCCCAUUCGUUUAAUCUUUUAAACCCUAAUCUUAAAAGCUAAAACCCCAUUUCAUUGAUUCGGGAACCUGAAUUCCAAACAGUCAAACUAAAAAUGGCUCGCUUCAUUCCAACAGCUCAAAGAGCAUUUGUCUCUGCUGCUUCGAAAACCCUAACUAAUGGCAGCCAAUCACGAACCGCAUCUGCAUAUUCACUACUCCAAUUUCAUCCCUACGCAACCUCCCAAACCCAUAAAUCGCCUUUCACAGCCAACAUCAUCAGAAUCCUAAGCAACGAGAUCGAGUACCAGCACGACUACGCUCCUCCCCAUCAGCCGGCUACGAGUUUCAAUUCAUUUACGGUCCAAGACCGACCGGGAGAGAAGUGGAUGACAAUGAGGGGAAAAUACGGAGAAUAUGAAGAAAUUAAAAUUGAAGCAACUAUGUUUGACGGUUGUGUUUUUGUUCCUAAGCCUGGAGAAGAUAGCACUGGGGAGAAUGUGGUUCUUCACAUUAGCUUGCUUGUUGAUAUUUCCAAAGGUCAAGGUUAUCCUGAUAUGGAAUUUUUGUGCUCAGCUUGGCCUGAUCAUUUAGAAAUCCAGACAGUUUACUUGCUCAAUCGCGAUAAGACUAUUAUUAACCCUUACAUGGGACGUGAUUUGAGGAGGAAAAAGAAUAGGAAGCUUCAGAGGACACUUGGUGAUUACUUGGAAGAAAGGGGAGUAAAUAAUGAACUCUGUGUUUUCCUGCACGAGUAUAUGAUGAAUAAGGAUAGGAUUGAAUUGAUCCAGUGGUUGGGAAAUGUCAAAUCCAUUGUGCAGAAAUAGAACGAGGAAAUUACACUGGUGAUAAGGCCAUGUAUGCUCCAUUUAUUCUUUUGAUUUAUGCAAAGGAGUUUCUUACAAAGUAGGCCAAGAUCUAAGGAGAAUUUGCAAGCUUGAGGAUCAAACUCCAAUCUUGCUGGUAUUUGUCAAAACAGAUGAACCAUUUGGGUCUCUUUUUUUUUUUUUUUUUUUCAUAUUAAAUGGUGGUGAUGAACAUGUGUCUCUAAACUCGGGUGGGGCUUUGAGUUGAAAAUGAUGACAUUCAACUCUUUCGAACCACCAUUUGUUUAAUGUUGUGGAAGUUGAGACGUUGGUACCAGGCAUGCCCCAAAGUUGUACAGUGGACCACUAAUCUCCUCAGAUGUUUGUCUGAUUUGCUGUGAACUAUUAGUUUCACAACAAAGCUGCUUGCCAUCCCGACCUCCCCACCAAUCAAAGAUUAUUUAUAUGUAAUGUCGCUGUAUGAUUAAAACUGAGCCGUCAGGUUAGCUUGUUUCGACCAAUAAAGCAAGAAUCAAUUUAUCCGAAUAAAACAAAAAAAUAUAAUAAA